GACGAACGCUGGCGGCGUGCUUAACACAUGCAAGUCGAACGGAAAGGCCCUGCUUUUGUGGGGUGCUCGAGUGGCGAACGGGUGAGUAACACGUGAGUAACCUGCCCUUGACUUUGGGAUAACUUCAGGAAACUGGGGCUAAUACCGGAUAGGAGCUCCUGCUGCAUGGUGGGGGUUGGAAAGUUUCGGCGUUUGGGGAUGGACUCGCGGCUUAUCAGCUUGUUGGUGGGGUAGUGGCUUACCAAGGCUUUGACGGGUAGCCGGCCUGAGAGGGUGACCGGCGACCAUGGGCCUGAGAGACGGCGCAGACGCGUACGGGACGCAGCGGUGGAAAAUAUUGCAGAAUGGGCGGAAGCCUGAUACAGCAGCGUCGCGUGCGGAAUGACGGCUUUCGGGUUGUAAACCGCUUUCGCCUGUGACGAGGCGUGAGUGACGGUAAUGGGUAAGGAAGCACCGGCUAACUACGUG
rnacentral:rRNA from 1 species